UACGGGGGGGGCAAGCGUUGUUCGGAUUUACUGGGCGUAAAGAGCGCGCAGGCGGUCGUUCAAGUCGAGUGUGAAAGCCCCCGGCUCAACUGGGGAGGGUCAUUCGAUACUGAUCGACUCGAAGGCAGGAGAGGGAAGUGGAAUUCCCGGUGUAGUGGUGAAAUGCGUAGAUAUCGGGAGGAACACCAGUGGCGAAGGCGACUUCCUGGCCUGUUCUUGACGCUGAGGCGCGAAAGCUAGGGGAGCAAACGGG
rnacentral:rRNA from 1 species